rnacentral:rRNA from 1 species
UUGGGGACUAAACUGCUUUUUAGUACUACUUGUCACCCCCAAACUGAUGGACAAACUGAAGUAGUCAAUAGAACGUUGUCUACUAUGCUUAGGGCUGUUUUGAAGAAUAAUAAGAAAAUGUGGGAGGAAUGCUUGCCUCAUAUUGAAUUUGCUUAUGAUCGUUCAUUGCAUUCUACUACUAAGAUGUGCCCUUUUGAAGUUGUGUAUGGUUUCCUACCUCGUGCACCUAUUGAUUUGUUGCCUCUUCCAUCUUCGGAGAAGGUUAAUUUUGAUGCUAAACAACGUGCUGAAUUGAUUUUAAAAAUGCAUGAGUUAACUAAGGAAAACAUUGAGCGCAUGAAUGCUAAAUAUAAA